rnacentral:pre_miRNA from 1 species
CUAUGGCUAUGAUGAUGAUGAUGAUGAUGAUGAUGAUUAUCGUCAUUAUCGUCAUUAUCAUCAUCAUCAUCAUCAUCAUCAUCAUCAUCAUCAUCA